UGUAAUUGUCCGCUCUGUUUCAACCACUGGACGAUAUUGGAGAUACUGGCUCCGUGUGAGGAUGGCUUAAACUUCUAAAAAUGGGGUUUUGUCUUGUUUGCGUAACCUUUGAACACAUAUGUCAUCCACGCAGCGUCUGCAGGCACCAAUGAACUUUGAUUUCAGAGGGCUGACCUUUCAAUCACAGAAGAGGAUCCCCUGUCUCUCUGCAGAUAAAGACAGGUGCCAGAACUCUGCAGUAAACGUGAGGGGUUUUCAACGAUGAGCGGGUUGAGCGGUUAGCCGGUGAUUAGCUCUUUUUCUGGAGUGUGAAGAGAUCACCUGGAGCUACGUUCUGUGCAUGAAGAAUCAUUAUCUUAAAGUGGCUGGAUUUUCAUUAGAACGACAUACAUUACAAUAUCCAUGGUCUCCAGACGAUGACCCCAACUGACCUGUUUCUGAUCCUUUAGUCUUUUCUUCUCGAGGACCCAGCAGGUCAAAGUUAUGAAUAUUUAUAGAGAAUGAAUAAUUACACAAAGAAGAGUUAGAAAUUGUAAACCCUGCUUGAGUUGAAUCAUAAAGACUCACAUUCGGUCAUUCACAUUUAGUGACUUCGUUGAUUUCUUUUCCAACUUGUGCAGUUUUGGCUUUAACCCACCUGCUGUCCUCCGGGUCAUUUUGACCCACUUUCAUGGACCAUCAUCAUCAUCAUCAUCAUCAUCAUCAUCAUCAUCUCUCUCUCUCUCUCCAAUGCAACUCAAUACAAUUCAAAUGGCUUUCAUGGCAUGAGGUUUUGGGCAGCCAAAGCAAGUUAGAGAGCUGAAAUUGGCACUGGUAGUACUCUGGGGGCCCCUGAGGACCCCUACACAUUUUCAGCUCUCUAACAGUGUACAGUGUAGUUACACUACAAUGUACUGGCACUCCCAUACAAUUCAAUUAGAUUUAAGGGAAGGGAAGGAAAGGGAAGGGAGUUGGCUGUUAGAUACUUAAAUUGAGCUCCUUUGGACUCAUUAGUUCGAUGUUAGAUUUUGGCAAUGUGUUAGCAAUAAGAUGUUGGUUUCUCCCACUGUCGACUCCACAUCAAAACAUUUUCAAGGCGUGCACUCAUUGUUUUAAAGGCAGGGUUGGUAUUUUUCUCCAGAUGCACUUUUAAGAAAAUCUGUCAUCUGUAUCAGUUGUAUAUAGAGGACGA